CCGCCACCGAGCCACCGUUCUCACUCUUACUCCCAAUUUCUUCCCAAUUUCUCUCAUUUGCAAUCUGCGAGGCCAUUCUUUCACUUUGCUACCAGAAUCCCUCUCUCAAACUCUAUCCACCCCAACUGAAGUAGUGAAGCCCUAAUCCCGUCACCGACUCUUGCCGAUCAAAUCACCCACACCGAUCGCGAUUGCCUUAUAACUAAUAAGGGAUUUCUUUUUUCAUUGUAAGUAGUCAGGUAUGACAAAUAACUAUCUAAUGCACAAUAUGGUUACGCUCAGUUAAAUAGAGAAAAUUGUUAUAUUUAUGUUGUUUCCAAAUUUGGGUGUAUUAUGUCUUGAUAUUUUCCUGUGAAUCAUAAUUUGGUUGAUUCUAUGACUCCAAAUUUACUCUAGCAAUCUUUGAAAGGAUUGAGCUACAUGAAUAUGAAGCGAAAAUUGCAAGCAUUGAUUAUUCCAAUGUUGAUUAUUGCAAGCAUUGAUUAUUGAUAUUCCAUUAAAAUUGAUGAGCACAUAUGAGUUUUUCUUUUUGUUCGCUUCUUGCCGUUUGAUGAUCAUCUAGUUAUUUGUGAAAUUUUUUUCUGGCUGACGGAUGAGGUUAACUUUGGGAAAAAAGUCUGAAUACCAAAGUAUAUUUGAAUUUUUUGCUAGUUUUCAAGCAUAUAUUUGAUUUACUCUUUAUUUUCUCCCCUUUCUUCUCCUUCUUCUUCAAGUCCCAUUCUUGUUCAUUGCAUUCUAUGUCACUUACAUUUCACAUCUUCACGUUCUCAAAUGACAAUAGCUGGAAAAAUGUCUAAAUUUUUUAGAAGCAUGCUUUUAAAACAUAGAUAUCCUCAAUAGAUAUAACUCUAUAUUUAAAAGUUGAAUCACUCCAUGUGUUAUCUCUUUCAAUGAACAAUGAUGUUAUUUCUUUGUAAUAUGUUUGCACUCUUAAAAAAGUUUAAUCGGCAACACAAUUUUUUUUCCAAUUAAGUCAUGAAAUAAUUCAUUUUAUUGUUUCCAAACACAAAAAAGGAACAAAUCAGGAAAAAGCACGUUCAAUUUUUUUAUAUUCUACGUCCCUGUGAGUUAAGAACUGAAAUUUUUAUGGUCCCUGCUUAAUUUUUGUAAUUCUGAAGUUGGAGAAGGUUUCUAUGGGUUUUAUGAGGAAGAAAUUAAAGAUGUUGAUACCAUUUUUAUAUGAGCUAUGAGCACUUGUUGAAUUAUGAAAAAGUGAUUUUUUUUCCAAUUAAGUCAUGAAAUAAUUCAUUUUAUUGUUUCCAAACACAAAAAAGGAACAAAUCAGGAAAAAGCACGUUCAAUUUUUUUAUAUUCUACGUCCCUGUGAGUUAAGAACUGAAAUUUUUAUGGUCCCUGCUUAAUUUUUGUAAUUCUGAAGUUGGAGAAGGUUUCUAUGGGUUUUAUGAGGAAGAAAUUAAAGAUGUUGAUACCAUUUUUAUAUGAGCUAUGAGCACUUGUUGAAUUAUGAAAAAGUGAUCUUAACUAUCCAAACACGAAUUCUUAAACAUCAUGUUUUUCUUCAACUCAACAAAUCCGUUAGAAGGUUGUGUCAAAUUUAAAGGGAAUCCCUGAUGUUCAUAUUAAAGAGUCCAUCCUCUGUACUCUGAUGUUAAAUACAAUGGCUUCUGUAAUUUUCAAAUUUCAAAUAGACAUGCUUGCACUUUGUAUGCGGUUUUCUGUUUUGCUUGUAAUGUUUUUGUCACUGUUAGGUAAAAUGGAAACUAGAAGCUAAUGCUAUUCAUCAUGUGACGAACAAGCCGACAGUCAAAUUGUGCUCUGAAGAUAAGAAAUGUGCAAUACUGUGUAUGAAGAAACAAAUCUGUGAGAUGUUACAACGUAUAUACACUUCCAUCUCUCCAAUAUGAUGGUGUUAUGCUUAGUUGUACAUCUACUAACCUUCAUGAAUAGCAAGUGCAAUAUAAAUUUUACAUUUCCCUAUACAUAUCCAGCACCCAUCGGACUAAGUUGAAUAAAUGAUUUCAUUUAAAGAUGUAAAUUGUUCUUCUUGGAAAUUUAGUCUUAGCCGUACCCUCGUCCCCUCCCCUCUCCCCUACAGUUAUAAUCUAUUGUUUUUUUUUCAUAUCAUAGUCAAUUAAUUAACAAUUUAUGCUUCUUGCAUUGAGUUUUUGCCACCAGAAAGA
rnacentral:lncRNA from 1 species